CAAUAGCGUAUAUUAAAGUUGUUGCAGUUAAAAAGCUCGUAGUUGGAUUUCUGGUUGAAGCGACCGGUCGGGCGUUGAUUCGUCUGCACUGGAGUCGGUUUUGGCCAUCCUCUAGGAAAGUGCGUCUGGUAUUAAGUUAUCGGGCGUAUGAUCCUGGUCUUUUACUGUGAAAAAAUUAGAGUGUUUAAAGCAGGCCUUCGCCUUGAAUACAUUAGCAUGGAAUAAUAAGAUAGGACUUUGGUCUAUUUUGUUGGUUUGCAGACCGAAGUAAUGAUUAGUAGGGAUAGUUGGGGGUAUUUAUAUUCCGAUGUCAGAGGUGAAAUUCUUAGAUUUUCGGAAGAUAAACUUAUGCGAAAGCAUUUACCAAGGAUGUUUUCAUUAA
rnacentral:rRNA from 1 species